GGUUAAGUGACUAAGCGUACACGGUGGAUGCCUAGGCAGUCAGAGGCGAUGAAGGGCGUGCUAAUCUGCGAAAAGCGCCGGUAAGGUGAUAUGAACCGUUAUAGCCGGCGAUACCCGAAUGGGGAAACCCAGUGUGAUACGUCACACUAUCGUUAAGUGAAUACAUAGCUUGACGAAGCGAACCGGGGGAACUGAAACAUCUAAGUACCCCGAGGAAAAGAAAUCAACCGAGAUCCCCCCAGUAGCGGCGAGCGAACGGGGGCCAGCCCAGAACCUGAAUCAGCGGGUGUGUUAGUGGAAGCGUCUGGAAAGUCGCGCAGUAAAGGGUGAUAGCCCCGUACACAAAAAUGCACUGGCUGUGAGUUCGAUGAGUAGGGCGGGACACGUGACAUCCUGUCUGAAUAUGGGGGGACCAUCCUCCAAGGCUAAAUACUCCUGACUGACCGAUAGUGAACCAGUACCGUG
rnacentral:rRNA from 1 species